CCUACGGGUGGCAGCAGUGGGGAAUAUUGGACAAUGGGGGGAACCCUGAUCCAGCCAUGCCGCGUGUGUGAAGAAGGCCCUCGGGUUGUAAAGCACUUUCAGUGAGGAAGAACGCCUGGUGGUUAAUACCCAUCAGGAAAGACAUCACUCACAGAAGAAGCACCGGCUAACUCCGUGCCAGCAGCCGGGGUAAUACGGAGGGUGCGAGCGUUAAUCGGAAUUACUGGGCGUAAAGCGCGCGUAGGUGGCUUGAUAAGCCGGUUGUGAAAGCCCCGGGCUCAACCUGGGAACGGCAUCCGGAACUGUCAAGCUAGAGUGCAGGAGAGGAAGGUAGAAUUCCCGGUGUAGCGGUGAAAUGCGUAGAGAUCGGGAGGAAUACCAGUGGCGAAGGCGGCCUUCUGGACUGACACUGACACUGAGGUGCGAAAGCGUGGGUAGCAAACAGGAUUAGAUACCCUUGUAGUC
rnacentral:rRNA from 1 species